AAGUCGUAACAAGGUCUCCGUUGGUGAACCAGCGGAGGGAUCAUUACUGAGUACUACACUCUCUACCCUUUGUGAACUAUUAUACCUGUUGCUUCGGCGGCGCCCGCGAGGGUGCCCGCCGGUCUCAUCAGAAUCUCUGUUUUCGAACCCGACGAUACUUCUGAGUGUUCUUAGCGAACUGUCAAAACUUUUAACAACGGAUCUCUUGGCUCCAGCAUCGAUGAAGAACGCAGCGAAACGCGAUAUGUAAUGUGAAUUGCAGAAUUCAGUGAAUCAUCGAAUCUUUGAACGCACAUGGCGCCUUCCAGUAUCCUGGGAGGCAUGCCUGUCCGAGCGUCGUUUCAACCCUCGAGCCCCCGUGGCCCGGCGUUGGGGAUCUGCCACGGCAGGCCCCUAAAACCAGUGGCGGACCCGAAGGCCCUCUCCUUUGCGCAGUAGCAUCAGCCUCGCAUUGGGAUCCCUCGGCGUCCUGCCUCUAAACCCCCCGCAAGUCCGCUCCGGCGGCACCAAGGUUGACCUCGGAUCAGGUAGGAAUACCCGCUGAACUUAA
rnacentral:rRNA from 1 species